GACGAACGCUGGCGGCGUGCUUAACACAUGCAAGUCGAACGGAAAGGCCCUGCUUGCAGGGUACUCGAGUGGCGAACGGGUGAGUAACACGUGGGUGAUCUGCCCUGCACUUCGGGAUAAGCCUGGGAAACUGGGUCUAAUACCGGAUAGGAGCCAUUUUUAGUGUGAUGGUUGGAAAGUUUUUUCGGUGUAGGAUGAGCUCGCGGCCUAUCAGCUUGUUGGUGGGGUAAUGGCCUACCAAGGCGGCGACGGGUAGCCGGCCUGGGAGGGUGGACGGCCACAUUGGGACUGAGAGACGGCCCAGACUCCUACGGGAGGCAGCUGUGGGGAAUAUUGCACCAUGGGCGCCAGCCUGAUGCAGCGACGCCGCGUGGGGGAUGACGGCCUUCGGGUUGUAAACUCCUUUCGCUAGGGACGAAGCUUUUUGUGACGGUACCUAGAUAAGAAGCACCGGCUAACUACGUG
rnacentral:rRNA from 1 species